rnacentral:rRNA from 1 species
ACUCCUACGGGAGGCAGCAGUGGGGAAUAUUGCACAAUGGGGGAAACCCUGAUGCAGCCAUGCCGCGUGUGUGAAGAAGGCCUUCGGUUGUAAAGCACUUUCAGUAGGGAGGAAGGUAGUGUAGUUAACACCUGCAUUAUUUGACGUUACCUACAGAAGAAGCACCGGCUAACUCCGUGCCAGCAGCCGCGGUAAUACGGAGGGGUGCGAGCGUUAAUCGGAAUUACUGGGCGUAAAGCGCAUGCAGGCGGCCUGUUAAGUCAGAUGUGAAAGCCCGGGGGCUUAACCUCGGAAUUGCAUUUGAAACUGGCAGGCUAGAGUCUGUAGAGGGGGUAGAAUUUCAGGUGUAGCGGUGAAAUGCGUAGAGAUCUGAAGGAAUACCGGUGGCGAAGGCGGCCCCCUGGACAGAUACUGACACUCAGAUGCGAAAGCGUGGGGAGCAAACAGGAUUAGAUACCCUGGUAGCACAGAG